ACUAAAUUUAUGUAAGGUAUAUUUAAAAGCUUAAACCUAUUUUUAAGCAACUGACUAAUUCCACACCCCCCCCCCCCCCAUACUGUGUUUAGGAUAUAGGUCUAGCUAAGUGAUUAAUCUGUCUUCUUGAAUAAUGCCAAAAACGUUGCAUCAGCAUGAGAGGAUCUAACCUUUGAAAAAUUCCCCCAGGAGCAUCCAUUUCUGCUGGGGAUUUUGCUGCCAGCCAGAGCAGUUAAUAAAAAAGGGAAAGCCAAUAACACUGCCAGAAAUUUUUGCCAUAUGAAAGUCAGAGAAUCAGUUAGAGGCUGUCAAAUGUAAUGUAUGAUAUUAUUAAUAAGGAGAAUUCAAGAUCCAAAUGGGGCUUUUUGUCCCAGAGAUUGGGUCAUGCGGAAGCGGCUGAGGAAAUAGUGAGUCUCCAGGUGGAACUUCCAGUGGGACAGCGUUGGAGCAGACUUCUCAAAGCCAUUUAUUUUAUCAUUUCAGGAGGAUCAGUGAGGAGAAAAUCAUAGAAUCAUAGAAUGGUUCACUGAAUGAAAGACAGCAGAGGAGAUAUUCCAGCUGGAGGGUGGGGUGCCCACUGGGCAUGUUUCAACCUUUGGUCUCUGAGGACCUCAAGAUGUGGACACCUUUCCUUCCUGGUCAGCAAUGUGGGCUGGGGACACUCAGAAGACAUCAAGGAACAAGUUUCAGCCCUCAUUGUGUUGUUUCACACACCGCCCGUUACUCGUGGCUGAAGGGCAUUUGCUCCCUGCACGAAGUGAUCUGCCUCAGCGUGGGCUCAGGCUCACAGAGGUCUCCAUCGCAUCUGCUGGCUCUGACCUGCCGCUGGUACCUAUUUUAAAAUCUGAAUUAACAUAUGCUGUGCGGGCAGUGAGCAGAGAAGAAAAUACUUCGGAAGCUCCUGCUUUGGAGGUGUCCCUUCAAAUCUGGGGCAGGGAGAAUUUGCACCUGUACCUCCGCAGACACAGCAUGAUGCCAGGUCAGAGCCUGUGGUCUUAGCUAUGUACAGUGCUUACACUGAGCAUAAGUUCAACCUAGCUGG
rnacentral:lncRNA from 1 species